rnacentral:rRNA from 1 species
AUUGAACGCUGGCGGCAUGCCUUACACAUGCAAGUCGAACGGUAACAGGUCUUCGGAUGCUGACGAGUGGCGAACGGGUGAGUAAUACAUCGGAACGUGCCCGAUCGUGGGGGAUAACGAGGCGAAAGCUUUGCUAAUACCGCAUACGAUCUACGGAUGAAAGCGGGGGAUCUUCGGACCUCGCGCGGACGGAUCGGCCGAUGGCAGAUUAGGUAGUUGGUGGGAUAAAAGCUUACCAAGCCGACGAUCUGUAGCUGGUAUGAGAGGAUGAUCAGCCACCCUGGGACUGAGAAACGGCCCAGACUCCUACGGGAGGAAGCAGUGGGGAAUUUUGGACAAUGGGCGAAAGCCUGAUCCAGCCAUGCCGCGUGCAGGAUGAAGGCCUUAGGGUUGUAAACUGCUUUUGUACGGAACGAAAAGCCUCUUUCUAAUAAAGAGGGGUCAUGACGGUACCGGAAGAAUAAGCACCGGCUAACUACGUG